rfam:Camelus ferus unplaced genomic scaffold scaffold204, whole genome shotgun sequence.
GAGGGUAUGGCUCAGUGGUAGAGUGUGUACUUAGCAUGCACGUGGUCCUGGGUUCAAUCCCCAGCACCUACA